GCCUCGGAAACACAAUGUCAUUUAAUAUUCCAGCCCACAGCCCAGACAGUUGCACUUCGGGUCAUUUGGAACAGCGCUCUUGAGACUGCUUUAUUUGACAGUGAUUGGCAACACCCUGCAGUUGGAAAAACAGCCGUCACAUUCCCGGCAAUAGCUCUGCCGCUUUCAGAACCAGACCGCAGACAGGAGCCACAUUCACAGACGGGACUGUGGUGAGCACGGUCCAAUAGAACGCUAAAGCCACACUCUCGAGUCCCUGGAGCUGGUUGGAAAUAACAUAUCCAUUCAUGAAUCCAUGUAUCCACUGAAUCAACCAUCUCCAACCCGGGCUGCUGCAGGAGAGACUGUCCGUGAAGCAGCUGUAGGCUUGAGCACAGCUCUUCCCCCUGCCGCAGCCGGAGCUGUGGAGAAAGGUGGGCCCCAGAGAGUGUCUGGAGAUCUGGAAAGCCCACGGGGAGAUCACCAAUGCCACAGGGCAAGCAAUGAGAGUCAAGGGGAUCACAGAGUGAGUGAAGUUAAGGGGUGUAAACUGGAUUUUUCUGGAUUGAGAAUAAGGAGGACAUACAUGCCCCACCAGAGAAAUGGCCAUGCCAAAUUAUCUGUGUCGUGAGGCUCUUGGAACCUGAAGCCAGAUCUGUAUAUGUCUGCUAGCUCUUGCUGCAUUCAAAAGCCCACCAUAUUCCUGGGAGGAAUCCCAUCGCCUCUUCUGAGUCUUUGGUAUUGAGGGAUGAUGAGUCUUCCUCCCAAGCUUACAUAAGGACGUCCAUUCCCUAGCCACAUGAUUGAUUGACUCAAGGAUGGUCCCAGCUCCCUUGCUUGGACCAAAUGAUUCUCAGGACUUUCUGGGGACUACUGAGAAGAAACAGUGACUCUUUCUGCAGCUGCAUCUAAACUGGCAACAUAUAGCUGAGACUCCUGGGGCCUCCAAUAGAGAAAGCGUAAGUGAAAAUGAAGAUACACAGAGCUGGGGAUGGAAAGAGAUGGGGAUCGGGAUUGAGCAACACACAGAAGUUAAUCGUUUCCUUGAGUCAAGAAUCUCUUUUCAGCUUAAACCAAUUUGAGUCAGAAUUCCUGGCACUUCACCUGAAAUAAUCCCAAUUUCUAAAGACUGUCCAGACAUUGAAAUAUGUAUAUAUACCUCCCAAAUGCAUAUAUGUUUAAGAUAUUUACUAGCAUGUAAAUAUAUAUAAUACAUAUGUGUACAUAUGUGUGUAUAUACACACACAUUUGUGGUUUUUCAGAUAGUAGUGGUUUGUUCUUCUCUCACUAACUAUUCUCCUAAAUGUGUCUUGGACCCUCUUAAGAAUCAGAAAAGGCAGUGACCCACCCCCCAAAACAAACAGAUGCACAAACACAGAAAAGCAGAUAGCAUUUUAGUAGAAUCCCAGGGUCAUCCAUGGACUAGAUUAGGAACUCUCAGGGGCUGGAGAGGUGGCUCAGUGGUUAAAAACACUUGCUUCUCUUUCAGAGGACCUGGGUUCAGUUCCCAGCACCCACAUCAGGUGGCUCACAGCUGUCUAUAUCUCCAGCUCCAGGGGACCCGACACCCUCUGGCCUUCAAGGGUACCUCCAUGAAUGGAGAGCACAUCAAUUUACCCAGGUGCACGCACAGACACAUAAAGAAAAAGAAAUAAUACAAAUUAAAAAAAAAUUUAAAAAGGCCUCUGGUUGUCGAGGUGGGGUGGUUGCUGCAUGGUAGAGCACUUGCUGAGCAUGUGCAAGGCACUGAGUUUGAUGAUGCUUAGUGUCUGCAUAACAGUUUCCUGGAUUACUGCCUCCUAGUUCACAUGACUGCAGGCCAAUAUGUUUAGAAGGAGGCGUUGGUAUCCAGUUGUGUGUGUUCAGUGUGUGGCUCUGCACACUUCCUAUGAAGUCAAACGUAAAGAUGAAACAAGAUGCUCUGGAGAGUGCAUCACACACACCAGAUGCUCAUGCUUUUGUUUUCAAUUCCCUAAUUGUUUCCUUGGGAUAAACACCCGGAGAGAGAAUUUCUGGGUCGAAGUGGAUACACAUUUGUAGGGUGGGUAUUGUCUACUACCAAGUUUUCUUCUAGAAAAGAGAAACCGACAAGAUGGAGGUGGAGCUGCUUGCAGCAUACCUCUGCUCCCUCCCAUCAUCUUAUUCAUUUGAAUCUUUUCCAAUGCUAAGAAAAACGUCCUCAAAUUGCUACAGUUUGAUUUAUUUGGCUAUAAGUGCAUAGGAGUGUUUUCUAUAAGUGCAACUGUUUGUAUUAUUUCUUGUGGUCUUGUGUGUAUGCAUAUCAUCUGCAUUUUUCCCUAUUACACUCUAUUUUUCAGGGCUGGGCAUUGAACCCAGGACCUCGUGCGUGCCAAAUAAGCACUCUGUUGCUGACUACUUCCCGGCACUGUUUGUUCUUAGGAAUAUGUAAACCUGCCUUGUAAAUUACUGACAUUAGCUCUUGACUUUAUACACACGCAAAAUGUGUAAUUAUUUUUGUUUCAUGAUUUGCUUUUGAUUCUUUUAAAAAUAUGGUUUCAUUAUAUCAAAAUUAAAAUUUUUUUUAGAUUGUUACAUCUUCCAAGUGUCCCAUUAGGACCAUUCCCUCUACUUCUUGGUUUAGAAGAUACUCUCUGUUCAAGGUGAGAUAAAUUCUUGCCAAUACCUUCCCUAUAUUUUGUUUCACAUUCGCAUUAACUUCCUGGAAGUUAAGACUAUUCGCAUAGUCUUCCUGGAAUUAUGAUAAGACUCUAAAUGUCUUGCCCCCAAAUAGUACGUUUUCCGAGUUCUGUGUGUAUUUCUCCAUUCCAAGUGUUCUUUCUCCUGGAGUGGACCAGGCCUGCCUUGGUGUCAGUGAAAGGAAACAGCAGUAGUGGCAGAUGUGAAAUGUCCCAAAUCGUUUCAUCGUUGAUAGCCUACCUAAAGGCUGAGCUCUGUCUCCCAGUCCUGGAAGUGUCCCCUCGAGAGUGAGAUGGUCAGAAAGGAGAGGGUAGGUAAGAGCACUGUCCUUUACCCGGGCAGUAGCCACUGCAGCAGAGGUGACAGCAGGUCACAAAGCCCCCACAGGUGGAGGCUGAGCAGGAUCUGGAGCUUCUCCUUUCCGGUCCAGCCCUUUGUGUUUUCGUUCUCGCCCAUUGUACAAAAUGCCUCCCAGAUCCACACACCCCCCCCCCCAAGCCCCAAGAGGAGCUGGUUGGUCUGCCUGUAAUUACUGCUUAUUUGAUUUGUGGGUUUUAAUAUCUUUAACAUGAGGAGGAGGAGGCAUUCUAAAGCAAACAGACUUGGUGCCUAAUCAACUGAGCCCCAGCUGCGCCCUCGGCCAUGUGUUCUCGGCUUAUCUCAUCCCAUGACUUAAGAAUGUAAGCCCGUGUGAGUGACCUUUCUGUCACUAUCACCAAAUACCUGAAAUAACUCAUGAAGAGAAGAGAGAGGGUCAUUUUAGCUCAGGAUUUUGGAGGUUUCAGUCCAUGCUUACUUAGCUGUGUUGCCUUGGGGCCUCUGGUGAGCUGCGCAUCAUGGUGGUAGCAGACAGUUACACUGUUCAUUUUAUGGUCAGAAAUCAAAAAAGAGGGAGCAGGGGCUAGGAUCGAUCUCACAGUUCAUUUUGCAAGCCUUCUCUCAGUGACUUAAAGUGCUUCCGAUAGGCCCCACCCCUUCGUGCUCCCACAACCUCAAUACAAUGCCAGACUGGAACUGAAUCUUUAGUAUGUGGGCUUUGGGGGAACAGUCAAGAUCACAACUGUUGCAGGACUCAGUAUCAGGUUCAGCCACCCGAUCGUGUGAUAAGAUGGCACCAUCUGGAUGUACCCAGCUUUUGAGCGGUACAGCUAACUCAUCACACAUCUGACCCUUUUACCCUCAUCGGUCUUGAAAACUUGAGUAUUUCUCAUCACAGUCGGCUUCCUUCAAAGCUUUACACAAGUAAAUGCACAUUUUCUGAGUUUAGGAUAUUUGAAAAGAAGCGUGAGGACAGAUUGUGUUCCUAAACGUUUGCUGAAGUCCUAUCCUCCUUGAAUCAACAGCUUCAGUACAUGUAUUCAUUUAGCAUUAUUUUUCAUAUUCUCUACCAUUUCCGUGAGACUUGGGGAGGAAUGGGGUGUAAACACCAGGGCUCAGGGCAUCACUGGGCCAUGGAGGUCCCCCCAUCUCUCUGGGAGGGAGA